CACGUAGGCACCAAGCGUUGUCCGGAUUUAUUGGGCGUAAAGAGCUCGUAGGCGGUUCGGUAAGUCGGGCGUGAAAACUUUGGGCUUAACCCAAAGCGUGCACUCGAUACUGCCAUGACUAGAGUUCGGUAGGGGAGUGGGGAAUUCCUAGUGUAGCGGUGAAAUGCGCAGAUAUUAGGAGGAACACCGGUGGCGAAGGCGCCACUCUGGGCCGAAACUGACGCUGAGGAGCGAAAGCGUGGGUAGCAAACAGG
rnacentral:rRNA from 1 species